CCAACAACACAACCAAAGUAUUCCUGUCUAACUUUUUUUUUUAACCAACCAGGACAGAUUUACAAGAUUGCAUUGAAUGCAGGGAUCUGGUCAGCUAUUGUAGAUAGAUUGUUCUUCUAUCUGGAGUUGAACAGUAGCUUGUAGACUUGUUUUACAGAAAAGUUGUACUUGGCAGAGAGUUGGUGCGCCAGCUUGCAAAGUUAAGCACAAAGCUGAGAGGAGAGUUCCUUUGUUCUUCGCUGUGCGUUGAAAGGGAGAUCAGGGAAGGAUCACGGCAAUUAUCAUUUACUCCUACUGCUCUUAAAUGCUUUAGAGAUCAUGGCAAAAGGAUCGAAAUCGUACAUUUUCUGGGUUUUGUGCACCUGUUCAGGAAGAAAAACGCAAAACAGAUAUUUUGAUGAUCAACAAGGCAUAUGUUUAUCAGUGGAUUUACAGAAAUCGGCUUUUUAUUCUCAGAAAGAAACGCAACUUGAAUUUAUCUUCCUAGAAAAAUCUACGUGGAAUUGUGUGCAAGGAUCGUUCAUUGCUCAUUUUAAUAAUGCCAGCACCGGAAUGCUAACCAUGGGAAUUAUACACUCUUGGGAUUACAACUUCAAAACGUUUUCAUUCAUUCCGAAAUUGGGAUUAAAAUAUACAUUGUUUGGAAUACUUAUUUUGGGGGAAUUUCGGUUCAGUAUCAGCACAUUUUAGACGUAUCUUUGGAGACCUAAGAUUUCAACAGGAAUACAAAGCUCACCGCUACCACCCCUGUGCUGACCGGGC